rnacentral:rRNA from 1 species
UACGUAGGGGGCGAGCGUUGUCCGGAAUCAUUGGGCGUAAAGCGCGUGUAGGCGGUCCGAUAAGUUCGCUGUGAAAGUCGGGGGCUUAACCCUCGGAUGCCGGUGAAUACUGUCGGGCUUGAGUACGGAAGAGGCGAGUGGAAUUCCUGGUGUAGCGGUGAAAUGCGCAGAUAUCAGGAGGAACACCAAUUGCGAAGGCAGCUCGCUGGGACGUUACUGACGCUGAGACGCGAAAGCGUGGGGAGCAAACAGG